CCCUACGGGGCGCAGCAGUGAGGAAUAUUGGUCAAUGGUCGGGAGACUGAACCAGCCAAGCCGCGUGAGGGAGGAAGGUACAGUGUAUCGUAAACCUCUUUUGUCAGGGAACAAAGGCGGGGACGUGUCCCCGGAUGAGUGUACCUGAAGAAAAAGCAUCGGCUAACUCCGUGCCAGCAGCCGCGGUAAUACGGAGGAUGCGAGCGUUAUCCGGAUUUAUUGGGUUUAAAGGGUGCGCAGGCGGUCUGUUAAGUCAGCGGUCAAAGCCCGGGGCUCAACCCCGGCCCGCCCUUGAAACCUGCAGU
rnacentral:rRNA from 1 species